GUUUCAGACGAAUCCUCGUGGGGUUGAAGA
rnacentral:other from 1 species